UGGCUCAGAUUGAACGCUGGCGGCAGGCCUAACACAUGCAAGUCGAGCGGAUGAAGGGAGCUUGCUCCUGGAUUCAGCGGCGGACGGGUGAGUAAUGCCUAGGAAUCUGCCUGGUAGUGGGGGAUAACGUCCGGAAACGGGCGCUAAUACCGCAUACGUCCUGAGGGAGAAAGUGGGGGAUCUUCGGACCUCACGCUAUCAGAUGAGCCUAGGUCGGAUUAGCUAGUUGGUGGGGUAAAGGCCUACCAAGGCGACGAUCCGUAACUGGUCUGAGAGGAUGAUCAGUCACACUGGAACUGAGACACGGUCCAGACUCCUACGGGAGGCAGCAGUGGGGAAUAUUGGACAAUGGGCGAAAGCCUGAUCCAGCCAUGCCGCGUGUGUGAAGAAGGUCUUCGGAUUGUAAAGCACUUUAAGUUGGGAGGAAGGGCAGUAAGUUAAUACCUUGCUGUUUUGACGUUACCAACAGAAUAAGCACCGGCUAACUUCGUGCCAGCAGCCGCGGUAAUACGAAGGGUGCAAGCGUUAAUCGGAAUUACUGGGCGUAAAGCGCGCGUAGGUGGUUCAGCAAGUUGGAUGUGAAAUCCCCGGGCUCAACCUGGGAACUGCAUCCAAAACUACUGAGCUAGAGUACGGUAGAGGGUGGUGGAAUUUCCUGUGUAGCGGUGAAAUGCGUAGAUAUAGGAAGGAACACCAGUGGCGAAGGCGACCACCUGGACUGAUACUGACACUGAGGUGCGAAAGCGUGGGGAGCAAACAGGAUUAGAUACCCUGGUAGUCCACGCCGUAAACGAUGUCGACUAGCCGUUGGGAUCCUUGAGAUCUUAGUGGCGCAGCUAACGCGAUAAGUCGACCGCCUGGGGAGUACGGCCG
rnacentral:rRNA from 1 species